rnacentral:rRNA from 1 species
GACGAACGCUGGCGGCGUGCUUAACACAUGCAAGUCGAGCGGUAAGGCCCUUUCGGGGGUACACGAGCGGCGAACGGGUGAGUAACACGUGGGUGACCUGCCCUCAGCUCUGGGAUAAGCCUGGGAAACCGGGUCUAAUACCGGAUAUGACUCCAUGACGCAUGUUGUGGGGUGGAAAGCCUUGUGCGGCUGAGGAUGGGCCCGCGGCCUAUCAGCUUGUUGGUGGGGUGANGGCCUACCAAGGCGACGACGGGUAGCCGGCCUGAGAGGGCGACCGGCCACACUGGGACUGAGACACGGCCCAGACUCCUACGGGAGGCAGCAGUGGGGAAUCUUGCGCAAUGGGCGAAAGACCUGACGCAGCGACGCCGCGUGAGGGAUGACGGCCU